rnacentral:rRNA from 1 species
ACGUACAAGCAGUGGGAGCCCCACCACCAAAGCAUUUGCUGUACCGCGUUGACGGAGCGAAGCGACGUCAAACCGAUAAAACAGCAGUGUAAAGUGAGCCGCAGGGCGCUUUGCGCGACAGCGCAAAGGCAGGCGGUUUCGCGUAGCGAAAGCGAAUGCUUUGGGGUGGGGUGACUGCGUACCUUUUGUAUAAUGGGUCAGCGACUUAUAUUCUGUAGCAAGGUUAACCGAAUAGGGGAGCCGGAGGGAAACCGAGUCUUAAUUGGGCGUUAAGUUGCAGGGUAUAGACCCGAAACCCGGUGAUCUAGCCAUGGGCAGGUUGAAGGGUGGGUAACACUAACUGGAGGACCGAACCGACUAAUGUUGAAAAAUUAGCGGAUGACCUGUGGCUGGGGGUGAAAGGCCAAUCAAACCGGGAGAUAGCUGGUUCUCCCCGAAAGCUAUUUAGGUAGCGCCUCGUGAAUUCAUCUCCGGGGGUAGAGCACUGUUUCGGCUAGGGGGCCAUCCCGGCUUACCAACCCGAUGCAAACUGCGAAUACCGGAGAAUGUUAUCACGGGAGACACACGGCGGGUGCUAACGUCCGUCGUGAAGAGGGAAACAACCCAGACCGCCAGCUAAGGUCCCAAAGUCAUGGUUAAGUGGGAAACGAUGUGGGAAGGCCCAGACAGCCAGGAUGUUGGCUUAGAAGCAGCCAUCAUUUAAAGAAAGCGUAAUAGCUCACUGGUCGAGUCGGCCUGCGCGGAAGAUGUAACGGGGCUAAACCAUGCACCGAAGCUGCGGCAGCGACACUGUGUGUUGUUGGGUAGGGGAGCGUUCUGUAAGCCUGUGAAGGUGUGUCGUGAGGCAUGCUGGAGGUAUCAGAAGUGCGAAUGCUGACAUAAGUAACGAUAAAGCGGGUGAAAAGCCCGCUCGCCGGAAGACCAAGGGUUCCUGUCCAACGUUAAUCGGGGCAGGGUGAGUCGACCCCUAAGGCGAGGCCGAAAGGCGUAGUCGAUGGGAAACGGGUUAAUAUUCCCGUACUUGGUGUUACUGCGAAGGGGGGACGGAGAAGGCUAUGUUGGCCGGGCGACGGUUGUCCCGGUUUAAGCGUGUAGGUGUGUGUUCCAGGUAAAUCCGGUUCACUUUAACACUGAGGCGUGACGACGAGGCACUACGGUGCUGAAGCAACAAAUGCCCUGCUUCCAGGAAAAGCCUCUAAGCAUCAGGUAACAUCAAAUCGUACCCCAAACCGACACAGGUGGUCAGGUAGAGAAUACCAAGGCGCUUGAGAGAACUCGGGUGAAGGAACUAGGCAAAAUGGUGCCGUAACUUCGGGAGAAGGCACGCUGACACGUAGGUGAAGUGAUUUACUCAUGGAGCUGAAGUCAGUCGAAGAUACCAGCUGGCUGCAACUGUUUAUUAAAAACACAGCACUGUGCAAACACGAAAGUGGACGUAUACGGUGUGACGCCUGCCCGGUGCCGGAAGGUUAAUUGAUGGGGUCAGCGCAAGCGAAGCUCCUGAUCGAAGCCCCGGUAAACGGCGGCCGUAACUAUAACGGUCCUAAGGUAGCGAAAUUCCUUGUCGGGUAAGUUCCGACCUGCACGAAUGGCGUAAUGAUGGCCAGGCUGUCUCCACCCGAGACUCAGUGAAAUUGAACUCGCUGUGAAGAUGCAGUGUACCCGCGGCAAGACGGAAAGACCCCGUGAACCUUUACUAUAGCUUGACACUGAACAUUGAGCCUUGAUGUGUAGGAUAGGUGGGAGGCUUUGAAGUGUGGACGCCAGUCUGCAUGGAGCCGACCUUGAAAUACCACCCUUUAAUGUUUGAUGUUCUAACGUGGACCCGUUACCCGGGUUGCGGACAGUGUCUGGUGGGUAGUUUGACUGGGGCGGUCUCCUCCUAAAGAGUAACGGAGGAGCACGAAGGUUGGCUAAUCCUGGUCGGACAUCAGGAGGUUAGUGCAAUGGCAUAAGCCAGCUUGACUGCGAGCGUGACGGCGCGAGCAGGUGCGAAAGCAGGUCAUAGUGAUCCGGUGGUUCUGAAUGGAAGGGCCAUCGCUCAACGGAUAAAAGGUACUCCGGGGAUAACAGGCUGAUACCGCCCAAGAGUUCAUAUCGACGGCGGUGUUUGGCACCUCGAUGUCGGCUCAUCACAUCCUGGGGCUGAAGUAGGUCCCAAGGGUAUGGCUGUUCGCCAUUUAAAGUGGUACGCGAGCUGGGUUUAGAACGUCGUGAGACAGUUCGGUCCCUAUCUGCCGUGGGCGCUGGAGAACUGAGGGGGGCUGCUCCUAGUACGAGAGGACCGGAGUGGACGCAUCACUGGUGUUCGGGUUGUCAUGCCAAUGGCACUGCCCGGUAGCUAAAUGCGGAAGAGAUAAGUGCUGAAAGCAUCUAAGCACGAAACUUGCCCCGA